rnacentral:rRNA from 1 species
UGGGGAAUUUUGGACAAUGGGCGCAAGCCUGAUCCAGCCAUGCCGCGUGCGGGAAGAAGGCCUUCGGGUUGUAAACCGCUUUUGUCAGGGAAGAAAUCUUCUGAGUUAAUACCUCGGGAGGAUGACGGUACCUGAAGAAUAAGCACCGGCUAACUACGUGCCAGCAGCCGCGGUAAUACGUAGGGUGCAAGCGUUAAUCGGAAUUACUGGGCGUAAAGCGUGCGCAGGCGGUUUUGUAAGACAGAGGUGAAAUCCCCGGGCUCAACCUGGGAACUGCCUUUGUGACUGCAAGGCUUGAGUGCGGCAGAGGGGGGAUGGAAUUCCGCGUGUAGCAGUGAAAUGCGUAGAUAUGCGGAGGAACACCGAUGGCGAAGGCCAAUCCCCUGGGCCUGCACUGACGCUCAUGCACGAAAGCGUGGGGAGCAAACAGGAUUAGAUACCCUGGUAGUCCACGCCCUAAACGAUGUCAACUGGUUGUUGGGGAAGGUUCCUUCUCGGUAACGUAGCUAACGCGUGAAGUUUGACCGCCUGGGGAGUACGGCCGCAAGGUUGAAA